AAUAGUAUGUCAUUUUAUAUAAGGGAGUUGAGCAUCCACAGAUUUGGGUUUCUGCAGGGAGCCCUGGAAUCCUGUGGAUACCGAGGGACGAUUGUACAUUUUGAGAACCGAAGCCCGGUGCUACCCUGUUGCAGCGAUGAAGUAUCCAGGUCACCUGGAGAAAGCUGACAUAAGAGCAGGCACACAGCAGGAAGCUUUGAUCCUCAUCUUCUCUCUGGCUGCAGCCCUCAGCUCUUGUGCACCAACUCUGACCAAUGACUAGGACUGGCUGCUCGGAGUACAGCUGUAUUGAGAAAGAUUCUGAGGCUGGGUCUGCAUUCAGCAGGAAAAAAAAUGAAGAGGUGUAACACUAUGGACGAGUGGGCAACUGGCUCUUCAGGCUUGGAACCAAGAGGGGGCAGCAGAGAGCAGAGAAGAAUUGGUUGGCUUGGGCUGACCCAGACCUAGGAAAACUUCCAAUCUUCUUCUUCUUCCCUCAAAACCGAAUCCUUGUGGACUCACUCUUGAGACUAUUGUCCACACAAGUGGUGUGGUCCAAGGCCACAGCAAGAAAGGUCUGAGGGAGUUCUUUGGGGUUCAGGUGGAGAAAAGCCUGUGCUGGAUGCCAGGCUGCUCUGAGAACAGGAAGGAAGAUAAUAAUGUUAACAGCAACAGUUACAAUUACCCAGCCCCUG
rnacentral:lncRNA from 10 species